GAUGAACGCUGGCGGCGUGCCUAACACAUGCAAGUCGAGCGAACGGACGAGAAGCUUGUUUCUCUGAUGUUAGCGGCGGACGGGUGAGUAACACGUGGAUAACCUACCUAUAAGACUGGUAUAACUUCGGGAAACCGGAGCUAAUACCGGAUGAUAUUUUGAAGCGCAUGGUUGAAAAGUGAAAGACGGUCUUGCUGUCUCUUAUAGAUGGAUCCGCGCUGCAUGAGCUAGUUGGUAAGGUAACGGCUUACCAAGGCAACGAUGCAUAGCCGACGUGAGAGGGUGAUCCGCCACAUUGGGAGUGAGACACGCUCCAGAGUCCUACGGAAGGCAGCAAUAGGGACUCUGGCGCGAUGGGCGGAAGCCUGACGGAGCAGCGCCGCGUGAGUGAUGAAGGUCUUCGGGUCGUAAAACUCUGUUAUUGGGGAAGAACAUAUGUGUAAGUAACUGUGCACAUGUUGACGGUACCUGAUCAAAAAGCCACGGCUAACUACGUG
rnacentral:rRNA from 1 species